rnacentral:tRNA from 1 species
GAGGUGUGGCUCAGUGGUAGAGUAUGUGCUUAGCAUGUGCAAGGCCCUGGGUUUAAUCCCCAAGCAUCCUCC